CUGCUGCCUUCCGUAGGAGUUUGGGCCGUGUCUCAGUCCCAAUGUGGCCGGUCACCCUCUCAGGUCGGCUACUGAUCGUUGCCUUGGUGAGCCGUUACCUCUCCAACUAGCUAAUCAGACGCAGGUCCAUCUCAUACCACCUCAGUUUUUCACACCAAACCAUGCGGUUUUGUGCGCUUAUGCGGUAUUAGCAGUCAUUUCUAACUGUUAUCCCCCUGUAUGAGGCAGGUUACCCACGCGUUACUCACCCGUCCG
rnacentral:rRNA from 1 species